AUAUUUUAUAAUUAUAUCCUGGCCAUGGAUGCAUUAAUCAUUGCAUCUGUCUUUCAAAAAUGUCAGGUAAAAAAGCAAUUAAGCAUCCUCUCAUUCGCCCUGAGAGGAAAGCCCCCUAAAAAGGCCAGGUUAGUGGAUGCUUAGUGGGGGUGAAAUGGCCCAAUAUUGA